CCCAUGUUGCAGGUGCUGGGGAGGACCUGCGGAAACGCGGCGCCUCGCGGGCAGGGGGUGGCUGGGACAAAAACACGUGUCAUACGAGUGGUUCCUCGUCAUGCCACCAGAGAGCGCCAAAGACCUCGGCCUCAUGGGCGAUCCCGAAAGCCGGUUCCCGCCCAAGGAGACAGGCUUUGAGCAUCGCUGGACUCUGCUCCUAAGGCAGGAUUGGGUCCCCUUUAAGAAAGAAGUGGAGUGUGUUUUAAACAGGAGCCAGCAUGAUCAUAACUAGUUGUCCUUGAGCUUAAAGACGUCAUCAUUGUGGGGAGAUAAAUCCCUUAUUUUUUGGCUUUCUUUCCCCAAAAAAGCUGAAUUCGUCUCAAAUGGGUAGAGGGGGAUUUCCUACCCAGGAAUUCAUAUACAUACUCCUUUCCCAGUUCUCGCCCCCAAACAGGUCCUCAUAGUGCUCGGCAGCUCCUGGAACUGUCCUCACCGAAGCUUUGGGAGUAGGCAGUUCAUGGCACAUCCUAGGCAUUCUAUGAAGCUUGCA
rnacentral:lncRNA from 1 species